UACGUAGGGUCCGAGCGUUGUCCGGAAUUACUGGGCGUAAAGCGCGCGUAGGCGGCUCUUCAAGUCAGGCGUGAAAGCCCCGAGCUUAACUCGGGAACUGCGCUUGAUACUGUCGAGCUAGAGUGUGGAAGGGGCGAUUGGAAUUCCGUGUGUAGCGGUGAAAUGCGUAGAUAUACGGAGGAACACCAGGGGCGAAGGCGGAUCGCUGGGCCAACACUGACGCUGAUGUGCGAAAGCGUGGGGAGCGAACAGG
rnacentral:rRNA from 1 species